rnacentral:rRNA from 1 species
ACAGCAGCCGCCGCGGUAAUACGAGGGGUGCAAGCGUUAUUCGGAUUGAUUGGGUGUAAAGGGUGUGCAGACGGCUUAUUAAGUCACUUGUUAAAUUCUUCGGCCUAACUGAAGGUCUGCAAGUGAUACUGUUGAGCUAGAGGGUGGAAGAGAGAAGUGGAAUUCUCGGAGUAGCGGUAAAAUGCGUAGAUCUCGAGAGGAACACCAAUGGCGAAGGCAGCUUCUUGGUCCGUUCCUGACGUUCAUACACGAAAGCGUGGGGAGCAAACAGGAUUAGAUAACCCGGUAGUCCCUGUCUCUUAUAA